rnacentral:siRNA from 1 species
GUUGCGGUGCGGUUUUGGG